GAGGAAUAUUGGACAAUGGGUGGAAGCCUGAUCCAGCCAUCCCGCGUGUAGGAUGACGGCCUUAUGGGUUGUAAACUACUUUUAUCUGGGGAUAAACCUACUUACGUGUAAGUAGCUGAAGGUACCAGAAGAAUAAGCACCGGCUAACUCCGUGCCAGCAGCCGCGGUAAUACGGAGGGUGCAAGCGUUAUCCGGAUUUAUUGGGUUUAAAGGGUCCGUAGGCGGAUUAAUCAGUCAGUGGUGAAAUCUCAUAGCUUAACUAUGAAACUGCCAUUGAUACUGUUAGUCUUGAGUGAUGUUGAAGUUGCUGGAAUGUGUAGUGUAGCGGUGAAAUGCUUAGAUAUUACGCAGAACACCAAUUGCGAAGGCAGGUGACUAAACAUCAACUGACGCUGAUGGACGAAAGCGUGGGGAGCGAAC
rnacentral:rRNA from 1 species